rnacentral:rRNA from 1 species
CCCUUCGAUGUUCUGGGCUGCACGCGCGCUACACUGAUGCACUCAACGAGUUUACGACCUUGCCCGAUAGGGUUGGGUAAUCUUUUUAAAAUGCAUCGUGAUGGGGAUAGAUUAUUGCAAUUAUUAAUCUUCAACGAGGAAUUCCUAGUAAGCGCGAGUCAUCAGCUCGUGCUGAUUACGUCCCUGCCCUUUGUACACACCGCCCGUCGCUCCUACCGAUUGAGUGCUCAGGUGAAUAAUUCGGACUGCAGCAAUGUUUGGAUCCCGAACGUUGCAGCGGAAAGUUUAGUGAACCUUAUCACUUAGAGGAAGGAGAAGUCGUAACA